AAUCAACGCUGGCGGCGUGCCUCAGACAUGCAAGUCGAACGCGAAAGUUCCCUUCGGGGGAUGAGUAGAGUGGCGCACGGGUGAGUAACACGUAGGUAAUCUACCUUCGGGUGGGGAAUAACCCAGGGAAACUUGGGCUAACACCGCAUAAUGCAGCGGCACCACAUGGUGACAGUUGUUAAAGCGGGGGAUUUUAGGACCUCGCGCCUGAAGAGGAGCCUGCGGCAGAUUAGCAGUUGGUAAGGUAACGGCUUACCAAGGCGACGAUCUGUAUCCGGUCUAAGAGGACGGUCGGACACACUGACACUGAAUAACGGGUCAGACUCCUACGGGAGGCAGCAGUCGGGAAUUUUGGGCAAUGGGCGAAAGCCUGACCCAGCAACGCCGCGUGAAGGAUGAAGUAUUUCGGUAUGUAAACUUCGAAAGAAUAGGAAGAAUAAAUGACGGUACUAUUUAUAAGGUCCGGCUAACUACGUGCA
rnacentral:rRNA from 1 species